UAGCGGGGGGAGCAACGUUGUUCGGAUUUACUGGGCGUAAAGGGCGCGUAGGCGGCCAGCACAAGUCAGUUGUGAAAUCUCCGAGCUUAACUCGGAAAGGUCAACUGAUACUGUGCGGCUAGAGUGCGGAAGGGGCAACUGGAAUUCUUGGUGUAGCGGUGAAAUGCGUAGAUAUCAAGAGGAACACCUGCGGCGAAGGCGGGUUGCUGGGCCGACACUGACGCUGGAGGCGCGAAAGCUAGGGGAGCGAACGGG
rnacentral:rRNA from 1 species